GGCUCCAUAGUGUAUUGGUUAGCACGUCUGCUUUACAUGCAGAAAGACCUGGGUUCACAUCUCAGGUGGAGCCA
rfam:Pteropus alecto contig167389, whole genome shotgun sequence.